UUUAUCAUAUCACAUUCUAAGCCCAGUCUCAGGAAGUAAGCACUAUCAAUUACAUCUUCGUGGAAAAAGGAAACAAAGCAGACUUGAGAUAUAAUCGAAGAGUAGCGUGUGCUCGAUUUCUACAGAUGAAGGGAUGGUGAAUUGGACGGGGGCUGGACUCAGCUAGGCUGGCUGGGCUUUACUCUCCUUGAGGGUCUUUCAUCUUUAAGACGAUUGGACCAGGCUUCUUCACUUUGUGAUAAUAGCAGCAGUCCAAGAGGGCAAGCUCCAAAGUCCAAGCACUUUUCAAGCCUCCAUCUCCAACCCCUAUACUAAUGUCACACUGUUCAAAAUCAAGCUCACAGUUUCUACUCUCAACACCUGCUAUUACCCUUUCCUUCAAAUAGGCCAUUUAUCCUGACAGUGGGAAACACCCUGGAGGGAUGACAGUAAGCAACAUUUAAAUUUAUAUAUAGAAAAUGCUUUGAAAACCUC